GGAGGUUCAGAAAGAUGCCACACAAGGUCGGAAGCCGAAAAAAUUCUAGAAGGGUCGAUCUUUUACAAACUUCGGCUGGGAGUAUUUUAUACCCAAUAAUUGUAAUUGUCCAUCUACUCAUCAAGUAUAACUUGUUAACUUUGGGCUGGAUAGGUUCUUAACAUUAGAAUAGUCUGAUACAAAAUAUUGCUUAAUUUUUUAAAUCUUAAGAAUGAUUCUUAGGUUUGUGAGUUCAGUAAAUCAGUUGAUAUCUAGGAUUUGAGCUAG
rnacentral:lncRNA from 1 species